rnacentral:tRNA from 1 species
GGUGGCUCAGCGGUAGUGUGCUUGCCUCACAUGCAUGAGGCUCUGGGUUCGAUUCCCCAGCACCA